rnacentral:rRNA from 1 species
CACGUAGGGUGCGAGCGUUGUCCGGAAUUAUUGGGCGUAAAGAGCUCGUAGGCGGUGUGUCGCGUCGGCCGUGAAAACCUGCAGCUUAACUGUGGGCUUGCGGUCGAUACGGGCAUCACUGGAGUUCGGCAGGGGAGACUGGAAUUCCUGGUGUAGCGGUGAAAUGCGCAGAUAUCAGGAGGAACACCGGUGGCGAAGGCGGGUCUCUGGGCCAUUGACUGACGCUGAGAAGCGAAAGCAUGGGGGAGCGAACAGG